rnacentral:rRNA from 1 species
UACGGAGGGGGCUAGCGUUGUUCGGAAUUAUUGGGCGUAAAGAGCUCGUAGGCGGUUUGUCGCGUCGGCUGUGAAAACUCGGGGCUCAACCCCGAGCCUGCAGUCGAUACGGGCAGACUAGAGUGCGGUAGGGGAGACUGGAAUUCCUGGUGUAGCGGUAGAAUGCGCAGAUAUCAGGAGGAACACCGAUGGCGAAGGCAGGUCUCUGGGCCGCAACUGACGCUGAGGAGCGAAAGCAUGGGGAGCGAACAGG